rnacentral:rRNA from 1 species
UUAUUCGUUAGGUGGCGGGACGGGUGAGUAACGCGGUCGGGUAACCGUCGCCUUACACGUGGGGGAUAACACUUAGAAAUAGGUGCUAAUACCGCAUAACAGGAGAAGACGCAUGUCUUUCCUUGAAAACUCCGGUGGUGUAAGAUGGACCCGCGUCUGAUUAGCUGGUUGGCGGGGUAACGCCCACCAAGGCGACGAUCAGUAGCCGGCCUGAGAGGGUGAACGGCCACAUUGGGACUGAGACACGGCCCAAACUCCUACGGGAGGCAGCAG